rnacentral:rRNA from 1 species
UACGAAGGGGGCUAGCGUUGUUCGGAAUCACUGGGCGUAAAGCGCACGUAGGCGGAUGUGCCAGUCAGGGGUGAAAUCCCGGAGCUCAACUCCGGAACUGCCUCUGAUACAGCACGUCUUGAGUUCGAGAGAGGUGGGUGGAAUUCCUAGUGUAGAGGUGAAAUUCGUAGAUAUUAGGAAGAACACCGGUGGCGAAGGCGGCCCACUGGCUCGAUACUGACGCUGAGGUGGCGAAAGCGUGGGGAGCAAACAGG